rnacentral:rRNA from 1 species
UACGGAGGGGGCAAGCGUUGUUCGGAAUUACUGGGCGUAAAGGGCGCGCAGGCGGCUGCUCAAGUCAGGCGUGAAAGGCCUGGGCUCAACCCGGGAAUUGCGCUUGAGACUGGGCUGGCUUGAGUGCGGGAGAGGAUGGUGGAAUUCCCAGUGUAGAGGUGAAAUUCGUAGAUAUCAGGAAGAACACCCGUGGCGAAGGCGGCUCUCUGGAACGCAACUGACGCUGAGACGCGAAAGCGUGGGGAGCAAACAGG